UUAUUGUGACUGGUAACUGAUCCAGUGACUGUCUGCCCUGGAAUGCUGUAAGGGCUAAAAGGAAUCUGCUUAUCUACUCACAGCAUGUUUUCACUUCCAUUAAUAGAACCCUUGUUUGAGUGGCAAUGGGUUAUUCAGUGCUUUGAAAGUGAAACCUUGAUCUGGACACAGCACAUAUAUUGGUAAUGGGCAUUGCUUGUCCUGUCUCUGCAGCUUUGCAUUGCCAAACACUUUGUAUAUUUGCAAUGGAUCCUUAGCUUGAACGAUCACAGCCAUCCUCUCUUGAAAUUGAUUUUCUUCUGCAGAGAGAUGUUUGAAGCAAAACCCAAUUUGGCUUGUAUAAACUACAUUAGAUAAAAGAAGAUAUCCCUCAGAGUGUAUGGGAUCACCUUUGAAGCCAUUUUCACCUUACUGUGAAUAACAAGUUGCAGAAUAAAAGGCAUUUCUUACAGCUGAUCUGAUCUCUACCCAUCUGUGAGUUGGCUCUGCAAUGAGAUAAACCUAUCUACUCUAAUUCAGGACAGGUGUACUGUAUUUCCCAAUCAUAUUAAAGAAACUCAUGAGGUCUGGUGGUGGAACCCAAAGCACAUUACUAGGACAAGUGAAACAGCUUUAUUUGCUUUGAGGGACCUGCCUUGCAAAGAAAAUGCCAGGCUGCUCCUGCUGCCUUCAGGAGGCAGCAAGCUGGUUUGUGAGGUUCCACCUGGGCUGCCAGCUGAAAAAGACCCAGGUGGCGGAGGAUGAUUUGUUUUGGUAUGAAUGUCUACUCUAAUGAAGAGUGUUCCUAGCAAAGCUUUCUGCAUGUCGCUAGCAACAGACUGGACACUGCAAUAGCCUAUUGAUGCAGAAAUUCUGUGUGAUUUCACCCAAAUGACAGAAACUCAGUCUACUUUCAGUGACUCGGGCUGCUCAACACUCAUACCAUUUCCUGGGACUGAAAGCUUUGCUCAGAAUACUAUUUUGGAAUAUAUCCUUCCCAGGUAAACUUAUUUAGUCUGUAGAAAAGUGACAUGACAGUAGCAGGCACCUGGAAAAAAAAACAAUAACAGACAACAAAACCUUUAAAAGAAGAAGAAAGAUAAUUCCUCAGCAAAACAACAAGGGAAUUAUACUUCCAUUGAAUGCCACCCCAUUGACCUACCUGUCAAACAGGGAUGUUCACAGUCUUGCUGAACUACCCUGCCAUUGCCAUUAUGAAAGGCACUCUCAGACUGCCACCACCCAGUCUUCUUCUGGCUAUACAUCCUCUUGGUCACUGGGAGAAGAGAUAGAGAAAUCAAUGGGAGUAACCCAGUUACAUGGAAGGGUGGAGUUCACACCUGGUAUAAGUAUGUGCAAAACCAAAGGUGCUGGUGUGACUUUGGGGCAGAACACUCUGUGAUCCAGCCCUGCUCUGUGAGCCACAGGGCUGACUGGAGAUGUUUGUGAAUGAUUUAUGCAAUCAAGAGUAAACACAUCUAUGUGUGAAUCAAAGCCAAGCUCAGAAUGAAGGAUUGGUGCUAAUGAGGCUUUCUGGGUGUUGCAUUAGCUAUAAUCCUUUGGGCACUACACUUCAGGCAUUAAUACCUACUGCAGAUGAUGAAAGCAGCACAAGUCGACUUUCCUGUGCUUUGGUGACACGCGACUUGUUGUCCAUGAGGAACACAACACCAGGUAGCGGUCAACGGAGUCAGUGGAUCUGGUCUUUGCAAAUAUGUAUUUUUCAAGCACUUUUGAUACAAGCUUUAACAAAUGGCUUUGCACCGAUGCAGAUGUGAGGGCAGGCAUUACGAAAGUGCUGGAGAGGAAUGGUGAAAAUGAAGAGCAAAAUCAGCAUGGCAGAGAGAUGCAGCAUCUUAUGUUAGACCUAUUGAUAUAGAUGUGGAUGAAAAGAAACAGGGAAGCACUCAGGCAUGUGGGCCUUUCUUCAGGUCUGAAACUAACCCUAAAAAGAUUGGUUUUGCGGGCUAGCAAAGAAGUACUAUUAUUUACCAUGUGCCAGUUUGCAGGUGCAAAUUCCUUGCCAGCCUGGAUCAGACUGCCUGCCUUUGGAGAGAAAGUUUGUGGUAUGGACACAUGCCUCUUGGCCUUAGUGCCAGACUCAGGCCAUUGGCAUCUCCUGCUGUAUUUGGUGAAGUCUAUCUGUCCGUGGCUUGUGCAUGAUGUGGCCAUGGACCCCAGACGGGGCAAAGGUAUACCGCUGCCUUGUCCUAAAAGAUGUGCUCCCAGCUACACUGGAGUUGUUAAAUCAUUCUGUCAAAGUCAGUGGCAUUUAUUUCAGAUCCUGAAGCCCAGCAGGCAGCUGUGCAUAGUUUUAUUGGGAAAUCCAGGCCUUGAGCUAAUCCCUGGUUAGAGAAACAAGGAUUUCAGGUGUGUUUCAGAGAUGGACUCUUGAAUUAUGAAUAGGAAUCCAUUUUCCAAUUAAAUGCCUUCUACUUUCGCUUUAGAUUGUCUCUCUGUGAGUGCUUCAGCAGUAUAACUUUCUCUCUGGAGUUCUGACAAGCACCAAGGGGUAUAAAAGCACAUGGGUCAAGCUCCUUGCAGUGCCCUGGUAACACACCGUGGGGCACAGCACUGGCAGUCCCAGCCACCAACUUCAUCACGGUCCACUGUGAGUAGUGACGAGGAUUUGUUAACUCUGCCCUUAUUGCUCAGUGUUGAAUGAGAUUACGGGGUCUAAUCUGCCUCUAAACUACCACUGGUGGUAGUGGCAAGAAGGGCAUAGGGUGUGUAAUUGGGAGGAGGGGGAGUUAAAAAAGUGGCUGUAUAUCCAUACUGUUUCAGGCCUGGUUACACAGCAAGUAAAUCAAAGGCAUAGAAACCUUCAUAAAACGUAAUUUUUAUGGUAAUCACUUGUCUUUUCCAAGCACAUAACUGUGCUCAUUAACAAAAUGCCCAGAGAUUUACUAAUCAGUUUGGUUAAUUGAAAAAAGAUUAAAGAUUAACUGUUCAGAAACUUCCCUGUGUUUUUUACAUACCAAAUUGUUAAAACACAAUAAAAUGUUUUUAAUCAUUUAUCAUUCUGGCAUGGAGUAAUUGCUUGUUAUUACUGUUUGGAUUAGAGAGGUCCUGGAAGCUUCAGUCAGGGAUCAAAGUCUUACUGUAUGAGGCACAUAAUAAAUAGCAUCCUGCGGCCCCAAAGGAGCUGCAGGAUGGGGUAUCUAUAUACAUCAUUUUCAGGUUUUGU